rnacentral:rRNA from 1 species
GAUGAACGCUGGCGGCGUGCCUAAUACAUGCAAGUCGAGCGAACAGACGAGGAGCUUGCUCCUCUGACGUUAGCGGCGGACGGGUGAGUAACACGUGGAUAACCUACCUAUAAGACUGGGAUAACUUCGGGAAACCGGAGCUAAUACCGGAUAAUAUAUUGAACCGCAUGGUUCAAUAGUGAAAGACGGUUUUGCUGUCACUUAUAGAUGGAUCCGCGCCGCAUUAGCUAGUUGGUAAGGUAACGGCUUACCAAGGCAACGAUGCGUAGCCGACCUGAGAGGGUGAUCGGCCACACUGGAACUGAGACACGGUCCAGACUCCUACGGGAGGCAGCAGUAGGGAAUCUUCCGCAAUGGGCGAAAGCUUGACGGAGCAACGCCGCGUGAGUGAUGAAGGUCUUCGGAUCGUAAAACUCUGUUAUUAGGGAAGAACAAAUGUGUAAGUAACUAUGCACGUCGUGACGGUACCUAAUCAGAAAGCCACGGCUAACUACG